AACGAACGCUGGCGGCAUGCCUAACACAUGCAAGUCGAACGAGACCUUCGGGUCUAGUGGCGCACGGGUGCGUAACGCGUGGGAACCUGCCCUUAGGUUCGGAAUAACUCCCCGAAAGGGGUGCUAAUACCGGAUAAUGUCUUCGGACCAAAGAUUUAUCGCCUUUGGAUGGGCCCGCGUUGGAUUAGCUAGUUGGUAGGGUAAAAGCCUACCAAGGCGACGAUCCAUAGCUGGUCUGAGAGGAUGAUCAGCCUCACUGGGACUGAGACACGGCCCAGACUCCUAAGGGAGGCAGCAGUGGGGAAUAUUGGACAAUGGGCGAAAGCCUGAUCCAGCAAUGCCGCGUGAGUGAUGAAGGCCUUAGGGUUGUAAAGCUCUUUUACCCGGGAUGAUAAUGACAGUACCGGGAGAAUAAGCUCCGGCUAACUCCGUG
rnacentral:rRNA from 1 species